rnacentral:misc_RNA from 1 species
UUGCUCAUCAGCUUCCUGAUCGUCGCACCCCCUCCUCAUCCUCCUCCUUCUUUCUUCAUUGACACGGUUGCUUCUGUGUUGCAUUCGCUUAUCGUUCUUACUUGUUCUCUAUCUAUAAAUCGAUCCUCGUGUGUGUGUGUGUGUGUGUGUGCAUCCGCACUACCGACGUAAAGUGCCUACCACUCCCGAAUCUGUUGUUGUUGUGUGUUUUUUUUUUUCUUUUAGUGUUUCGCGUACGCCACACUUUGUCUUUCAUCACCGCCGGUUUCACUCUGGGCCCCUCCCCCCACCCCCGCACCCCUGCUUUCGCUUUCGUUUCGCAUCGCUGCCCCUCACGUUCUCUCCGUAUCUUGAUCAGACACGCCCACGAUGAAGCGCCCGCGUUCCAAUUCGGUGGUGGAGGAGACGGCGGUGUCGGCGUACGUGCAGACGUGCACGAACUUCAGGUCGAAUGUGACGUUCACGGACAUCUCGAAGGUAUCAUGUGUUGCACCGCACGUGCUUCUGGUGGGCGCGCUGGAGCAGCUGCGCGAAAGCUCUCUCAAGUCCGUGCUGUUCUACUGCCCGGCUGUCGCGGAGGCGCUACAGCGCGUCAAGGCUGGUGCGACGGUGAAGACGCUUGCGGAGGUUCCGGGGCGCAAGGGCUACACGGAAGUGACGGUGACGGCGCUGCCGGCAACCGCGUCGCGCACAAACUGCCCUUACCGCGCGGACAGCAUGUCGGAGGCCGUCGCUGCUGCGUGCGGGAGCGUCGAAGAAGGCGAGGUGCUUGACGUGUACGUGCGCGCGCCUGCUGGCUCCGAGACGGCGGUCGCGAACGCUGUUGCGCGUGCUGCGCCCCACUCGUACACCGCGAAGGCUAGGCAGGCGACGAAGGCGUACAUGAAGCAGGCAGUAACGUUGAAUGUCGUGAUGUCGUCACGCGCUGCGUUCACACAGGAGCUGGUGCGCGGAAAGUCCGUGUGCGUGGCGGAGCUGGAGGCGAUCUGCACGUCUGUGCAGCUGUGCCAGCGCCUGGUGGACACGCCGCCGUGCAUGCUGGACACUGUCGUGUACGCUGAGAUCGCUGCUGCUUACGCCGCUGAGCUCGGUGUGGAUAUGACUGUGCUCAAGGGUGAGGAGCUGCGCGAGAAGGGCUAUGGCGGCAUCUACGCUGUCGGCAAGUGUGCGCAGUACCCGCCGCACCUGGUGACGCUGCGCUACAGGAACCCGAACGCCGCUGAGGGCGCCAAGAAUAUUGCGAUGGUUGGCAAGGGUAUCGUGUACGACUGCGGCGGCCUUGCGCUGAAGCCAGCGGCGCACAUGACGAACAUGAAGACGGAUAUGGGCGGCUCGGCUGGCGUGUUCUGCGCCUUCAUCGCGGUGGUGCGCAGCAUGAAGAUGCAGAGGACUCACUUCAGCCACAUCGCCAACAUCAGCGUGACGCUGUGCUUGGCAGAGAACGCGAUCGGCCCCCACUCGUACCGCAACGACGACGUUGUGGUGAUGAAGUCGGGCAAGUCGGUGGAGGUGAUGAACACGGAUGCGGAGGGCCGCAUCGUGCUGGGCGACGGCGUGUGCUACGCGACGGGCGAGCAGGACUUCGUCCCGGAUGUGCUGAUCGACAUGGCGACGCUGACGGGUGCGCAGGGUGUGGCGACGGGCUCGAAGCACGCCGGCGUUUACGCCAGCGAUGCCGAGGCGGAAAAGGACAUGAUCAAUGCGGGCCUGCGGUCCGGCGACCUGUGCUACCCAGUGCUGUACUGCCCCGAGUACCACGAGGAGGUGUACAAAAGCCCUUGCGCCGACAUGCGCAACACUGCGAACUCGCCAUCCAGCGCCGGCUCGAGCUGCGGCGGGUACUUUGUCGAGCAGCACCUGAGCGAGCGCUUCAGGGGCCCCUUUGUGCACGUUGAUAUGGCCUACCCCAGCUCCAACACGGCCGGCGCCACCGGCUACGGUGUUACUCUCGUGUUCGAGUUUCUGCGCCAGCACUAGCAAUGGCUGAAACCGCGGCGUUGAAGGAUCGAAGAGGCGCAACACAAACACACACACACACACAAGCAAGCAAGCUGGUUUUCGUGCAGAGGGAGGUGGGUUGUAGGAUGUACCCGCUACUCUAACUUGGCCCGGCGCGCGCGUGUCGCACCCCGCCACUGGUGUUUCUCUGGGUUCACUUCUCUCAAUUUUACUUUUUCCUUCGUGUCCCUUUGUACGCUUCAGCAUGCGUAGGGCCACCCGUGCGCCGGCAGCUCGCCGGCACAGUGCUCAUCCGCUAAGCAGGCCGGUUGGGGGCGCUGUCUGGAGCACUUUUUCGUGUGUUUUCCCCUUCCUUGAGUGUUUUUUUUUGUGUCUUUUUUUUCAUUCUUGUGUAUGCUCUUUCUAGUUAAUGUUUGUUCUGAAAAAGAAAGCGUCGUUUUUGGCCAAUCAAGCGAGCCGUAGACCCACGCCCGGGCAUUGUGGCCGAUGCACGUUGGCUGUCGCUUCUCUGUGUUCCGACCCGCUCAUCGACGUUUUACCGUGUACGGUUAUUUGCACGGUAGCCUUCCUCUCUUGCCUUCACGCAGGUGUCGGGCGGAUGGCCACGGACAAGCAACAGCGCAGCGUGCUGAGGAAGUGAGGGAGGGAGAGGGAGGAGGAGACAGAGGCGUUGGAGAGCGGUGCGGCUUGCUUGAUUGUGUGCGCCAAGCCGUGAAGAGCAGAGGAGUAUUCGAGGCAAGAGCAAAGAGAAAAGCCGGCGAGGCGACGUGUUCUUUUCCUUCUCUUUCUGAAGGGAUUCGGCUCGUGUUGCUGUCUUGCACACAGACGCACACACACAGAGAAGCAUAGACGUAUACAUAUAUAUAUAUAUAUAUAUAUAUAUCUCCCCGUCUAGACGCGCACAUCUUUUUUGUGUUUUUUUUCUUUUCUGUAUGCGUGUGCGUUUGCUUCCCCUUCCUUUUGUUUUGUGUGUUUUUCUCUUUAGUGGUGUCUUGAGCGAUUAUCGAAACAAGCAAGGAUGAAGGAGAGGGAGAGCGAGAGACGCACAUGGUUAGCUGCUAAGGAAACGGGACUGGGUCUGUUGGCGGCCGGCCCUUACCCCUGCUCCGUUCUUCGCAGCGCAGGCCUCAUUGGUGUGUACACGCACGGCGCAUACAUACAGACGCCAACGUGCAGCGACAAGCACCAUUACUGUCUCGGGGCGCCUUGAAAUGCGCGUCGCAUGUGUGCGUGUGUGUGCCUUGCGGGAGAGGCAG